GGCAAACAAGCUUUGAUCCGGAGAUGUCCGAAUGGGGAAACCCACUCCUUCUGGAGUAUCCGUGGCUGAAUACAUAGGCCAUGUGAGGCGAACGCGGCGAACUGAAACAUCUAAGUAGCCGCAGGAAAAGAAAUCAACCGAGAUUCCCAGAGUAGUGGCGAGCGAAAUGGGAGCAGCCUGUACUCUUUAUCUGCAGUGUUAGCUGAACGCUCUGGAAAGUGCGGCCAUAGCGGGUGAUAGCCCCGUAGGCGAAAGCAUUGUGGAAGAACUGGGUGUACGACAAGUAGGGCGGGACACGUGAAAUCUGUCUGAAGAUGGGGGGACCAUCCUCCAAGGCUAAAUACUACUGAGAG
rnacentral:rRNA from 1 species